UACGGAGGGUGCAAGCGUUGUUCGGAAUUACUGGGCGUAAAGCGCGUGUAGGCGGCCUUUUAAGUCUGAUGUGAAAGCCCGGGGCUCACCCCCGGAAGUGCAUCGGAUACUGGGAGGCUCGAGUACCGGAGAGGAGGGUGGAAUUCCUGGUGUAGCGGUGAAAUGCGUAGAUAUCAGGAGGAACACCGGUGGCGAAGGCGGCCCUCUGGACGGAUACUGACGCUGAGACGCGAAAGCGUGGGGAGCGAACAGG
rnacentral:rRNA from 1 species